rnacentral:rRNA from 1 species
GGGAGUGGCAAGCGUUAUCCGGAAUUAUUGGGCGUAAAGCGUCCGCAGGCGGCCUUUCAAGUCUGCUGUUAAAACGUGGAGCUUAACUCCAUCAUGGCAGUGGAAACUGAUUGGCUUGAGUAUGGUAGGGGCAGAGGGAAUUCCCGGUGUAGCGGUGAAAUGCGUAGAUAUCGGGAAGACCACCAGUGGCGAAGGCGCUCUGCUGGGCCAUUAUCGACGCUCAU